UCCACACUUCAGCUGCCACCACAGUAAUCUUCGUAAGGAGGGCUCUGAUCCUGUCACUCCAAGCUGCAGAUGCCUAUUGUUCUUCAAAAUAAAAGAGUGUUACUGCAUGAAAACCCCUCAUCUUAAUCAGCUUUGCAUUCUAAUGUACACCACGGCUCAUUCUUCACUGCUGGUGCGGACAAGAGGAGGGUGUUGCAGAAGUGUCUACCACUCCACAUUUUCAUAGCAGGAAAGUACCGGGAGGAGCCCCACGGCAGUUCAGACUGAGAACAUUAUUACUCCUCCUACCUGACCCAGGAGGAGCAGGAGAAUAGAGGCGUUAAAGCUUAGCUACAAACCUAACAAUGUCUAAAUAUACCACCAUCCACACACACACACUAUCUCCCUUCCUUAGGAAUUUCUUCACUGGAGUCGAGUGUGAACAAGGCCGGUCUCAUCGCAAACAGAGAAAAGUAUAAGAACUUGCACAUUAAAUUAAGGAAUGUGAAUAAACAUAAUCCCACUCUAGUAUUAAAUGACACUUUGGCCAUUCCGUUAACAGCCCUGCUUUUAAGGAGUCCGCUUGAUUGAAAUGAUUGGAGGGGGCUGAAGGAGUGGGUAGUUUCCAAGACUUCCAAACCAAAGCCAAGCUUGUUAGCAGCAACUGUCAGACAACAAGCCCAGCACACAGGACACCAUAUGGAGCUGCUGCAGCCACCGAACCUGGGACCCACGUAUGUCCUCAGCGUGCAGCAUCCAGUGUGCUCUCCCCGCCCUCCACCCACCCAGGAGCCCCGAGGGACUUAGGUAUGGAGCAUCCACUAAUCAGAACACCUGCAUGUUACUCCAAUGUGUUUCGGGGGUGAGGGGAAUAUGUUUUCAUUCAUUAGAGCGCUGAUAAACACUGAGCUGACACUUACCUUCCCAUAGAUCUUUAAACCCACCAGUAACUUCCUUUUGACUCAGAAGUUUCUGGCUCCUAUUAUGACCACCCAUUGGUAUUUCUCCCAAAAACAUAAUGUAAGCUCCAUGGAAACUGAAGCCUUGUGUGUUCCAGACCCAGGAGAGUGCCCAGUACAAACAAGA